rnacentral:rRNA from 1 species
GCACAACGCGAAGAACCUUACCUAGGCUUGAACUCCUACGAACCUGUUGUAAUGGACGGGGUGCCCGCAAGGGAAUGUAGUGAGAGGUGCUGCAUGGCUGUCGUCAGCUCGUGUUGUGAAAUGUUGGGUUAAGUCUCGCAACGAGCGCAACCCCUAUCGUCUGUUGCCAGCAUUUAGUUAGGCACUCUGACGAGACUGCCUGGGUUAACCAGGAGGAAGGUGGGGAUGACGUCAAGUCCUCAUGGCCCUUAUGUCUAGGGCUACACACGUAAUACAAUGGCGCGUACAAUGGGAAGCGAACUAGUGAUAGGGAGCAAAUCUCAAAAAGCGCGCCUCAGUUCGGAUUGGAGUCUGCAACUCGACUCCAUGAAGUUGGAAUCGCUAGUAAUCGGAGAUCAGCACGCUCCGGUGAAUACGUUCCCGGGUCUUGUACACACCG